GCAUUCUGGACGGUACUUAACCGUACCUUCUCUUCGGAGCAGGAGUGACAGGUGGUGCAUGGUUGUCGUCAGCUCGUGUCGUGAGAUGUUGGGUUAAGUCCCGCAACGAGCGCAACCCUUAUCUUUAGUAGCCAGCGGUUCGGCCGGGCACUCUAGAGAGACUGCCAGGGAUAACCUGGAGGAAGGCGGGGAUGACGUCAAAUCAUCAUGCCCCUUAUGACUUGGGCUACACACGUGCUACAAUGGCGUAAACAAAGGGAAGCAAAGCUGUGAAGCCGAGCAAAUCUCAAAAAUAACGUCUCAGUUCGGACUGUAGUCUGCAACCCGACUACACGAAGCUGGAAUCGCUAGUAAUCGCAGAUCAGAAUGCUGCGGUGAAUACGUUCCCGGGUCUUGUACACACCGAA
rnacentral:rRNA from 1 species